rfam:Ixodes scapularis strain Wikel colony gcontig_1108379413140, whole genome shotgun sequence.
GCAGUCGUGGCCGAGUGGUUGAGGCGAUAGACUAGAAAUUCAUUGGGGUCUCCCCGCACAGGUUCGAAUCCUGUCGACUGCG